rnacentral:rRNA from 1 species
AGAGUUUGAUCAUGGCUCAGGAUGAACGCUGGCGGCGUGCUUAACACAUGCAAGUCGAACGGACUCAUAUUGAAACCUAGUGAUUUAUGAGUUAGUGGCGGACGGGUGAGUAACGCGUGGAUAACCUGCCGUAUACCGGGGGAUAACACUUAGAAAUAGGUGCUAAUACCGCAUAAGCGCACGGCUCCGCAUGGGGCAGUGUGAAAAACUCCGGUGGUAUACGAUGGAUCCGCGUCUGAUUAGCUAGUUGGCGGGGUAACGGCCCACCAAGGCAGCGAUCAGUAGCCGGCCUGAGAGGGUGGACGGCCACAUUGGGACUGAGACACGGCCCAAACUCCUACGGGAGGCAGCAGUGGGGAAUAUUGCACAAUGGGGGAAACCCUGAUGCAGCGACGCCGCGUGAGUGAAGAAGUAUCUCGGUACGUAAAGCUCUAUCAGCAGGGAAGAAAAUGACGGUACCUGACUAAAAAGCCCCGGCUAACUACGUGCCAGCAGCCGCGGUAAUACGUAAGGGGCAAGCGUUAUCCGGAUUUACUGGGUGUAAACGGAG